AUUGAACGCUGGCGGCAGGCUUAACACAUGCAAGUCGAGCGAGCGGCGGACGGGUGAGUUAUGUCUGUGAAACUGCCUGAUGGAGGGGGAUAACUACUGGAAACGGUUGCUAAUACCGCAUACCAUCAGAUGUGCCCAGGUGGGGUUAGCUAGUAGGUGGGGUAAUGGCUCACCUCGGCGACGAUCCCUAGCUGGUCUGAGAGGAUGACAAGCCACACUGGAACGGGGAGACGGUCCAGAUGCCUACGGGAGGCAGCAGUGGGGAAGAUUGGACAAUGGGCGAAAGCCUGAUGCAGCCAUGCCGCGUGUGUGAAGAAGGCCUUCGGGUUGUAAAGUACUUUCAGCGAGGAGGCGUUACUCGCAGAAGAAGCACCGGCUAACUCCGUGCCAGCAGCCGCGGUAAUUC
rnacentral:rRNA from 1 species